UUAAGAUUACCCGCUGAAACGGCCAGAAACCAUUUUAGCGGGGAUUUUUAAAAAAUGUUGACAGGAGCACAUGAUGAUAUAGAAGCUCACUCAUAACAGUCGAUACACUUAUCAUCAAUGUAUUCGUAAUGUUGCUUCAGCUAACCAAUAGAUGGCACUGUUCCGAGUGGCUCCUGCAGCAUCAUGUGCUCCUGUUAACAAUUUUUCAAUUCCGGCUAAAAUAGAGCGUUUCUGGCCGUUCCAUAAACGUGAUAUGUAACCUCUCAAUUUAACUGCACCACUUUUUCGUGAGCUUUAUAACAAAUCAAUUUUUAUAGAAAUAAUUUUAAUUGAAUUGUGAAUACGAUAAACUUAUUGUAUGAGAAAUUUUUGCAGUGAUUAUUGGUUGGAAAUAUUGAUUAAAAAAUGUGAUAUUAUGUUGUAUAUUAUAAAUUCACAAUAGUGUAACGAAAGUGAUUAAAAGAAAGUGACAACAUUGCAUUUUAACACCCGACAAAAACAGUACGUGAAAUCCACGUUAUUGCCAUGUGGAUCAGUAUUGUGGAAUCCACAUGGAUAUUUGAGUGAAUAAUAAACGUUUUGUAAGAUUGUGCGCCGAGAUCUACCGAUAGGCGGUGCCAGCUCGUGGCUGCCAAAUUUGGCCGACAACGAUCAGGAGCGAUAGGCGAUUAUUGCGCGAGCGCGAUCCUGCGCAAUAAUCGAGGAAGGAUCGAGCUUCCCCGAAAAUUCGAGAAAGUUCGGUCUAGCUUUCCUUAUUGGAAGAGUAAGUAAAAAUCACUCUCUAUCGCCGAACUACAUGGAACAGUCGCACAAAUCGAUAAAAUAUAGAGGGACAGUCGGUCCGGUAUAUUAGCACUUUUGGACUUAGCCGAAAUCUCAACUCUGUACUUAUAAAUUGAAAUUAUAUUGUUAAUAGUUAAAGUAAAUUCAGUGUCGAAUCAUUUAAGAACCAUCCUGUCGUUUUUCUGUUUUCGUCGAAGUAUCAUCGUUAAUAAAUUAAACAAAAUAACAAGGGUCGCGUAUAGGACAUAACCGUCGCAGUCGUUUGAAUAAUCAUUGAACAGUUGGAAUAUUCCUUUUAAGUACUUUAUUAGUUAAAAUACAUCGUGUCGGAACAAGAACUGAAUUGCCGAGUCGAAAUAAGGAAAGAGUCUCGAAUAUCUUUCAGUUUUAUUAUUGAUCUAAUAAACGUUUAUAAGCAGACGCCGUCUAUAAGAUGUCUAUUAGACGUUUUUUUCGACCUAUAUUUUUCACUGGGUAUAGAAUAAUAUUUUCUUGUUCAAUACAAGUUUACCUCACCUGCAAUGUGUACAUAAAUCAAAAUAUUUAUAAAUGAUUUGAUUAUCCACACAUUAAAAAUCACAUUGCGAUAAACACAAUGAUAUACCUCAAUGGAUCAAUUAUUAUCUUUAGUAGAAAUUUCUACAUGAAAAUUACAUUUCGAGAAUAAAGUACUUUGAUGUAGUGAUGAGAAGAAACGUUGCAAAAAGAAAAUUGCAUCCAUAAAUCCAUGAAUAAUUCGUGGAUAAAUCUACAUCUACGUAGUCCACAUAAAUUAUUGGAUUCGACAUGGAUGUGACGUAACUGUUUUUGUCGGGUAUUUGUACCAUAAUGGAGAAGGCUUAUAUAGAAAAUUUUCUGAAGUUAAAAAUAUGCUGUGAUAAUCUGAUAAAAAAUCCAAGUAAGGAUCAUGCAUAUAGAAUUGUGAAAGUAGCAAAUAACAUCCCUACUGAGGUCCUGCAAAAAUUGUUAGAAUAUUGGUUAUUUUUCAUUGUUAUCUGCUUACGAAUUAAUAGCUACAACUAUAAAAGAAGAAUUAGUAAGGAUGACUAUGACAGUUAUCAUACAAGAGAUAAGAAUCAUAGAAUUGAAACAUUUUAAUGAUAUCUAUGGAUCUCUUCCACAAAUUUAUGAUAAAAGUCAGCCAAAUCUUCCAAAAAAAUGGAUAAGAAAGAAAAUGAUCAGCAGCUUUCGCAAAUGACCAUUGAUUCACCUACUGUAAGCAGUGUCAGUGAAAUAACUGAUAUCGAUGUGACAGUUACACCUUCAGUGAUAUCCAGCGCUACGGGAUAUUUGCCUUCAUCAGCGUCAAUGCGAGCUUCCGCUGCCGUCCCCA
rnacentral:lncRNA from 1 species